rnacentral:rRNA from 1 species
CUACGGGAGGCAGCAGUGAGGAAUAUUGGUCAAUGGGCGCGAGCCUGAACCAGCCAUCCCGCGUGCAGGAUGACGGCCCUAUGGGUUGUAAACUGCUUUUCUAUGCCAAGAAACCUGAUUACGUGUAAUCAGUUGCCGGUAGCAUAGGAAUAAGCAUCGGCUAACUCCGUGCCAGCAGCCGCGGUAAUACGGAGGAUGCAAGCGUUAUCCGGAUUCAUUGGGUUUAAAGGGUGCGCAGGUGGGCUUGUAAGUCAGUGGUGAAAUGCUGCCGCUUAACGGUAGAACUGCCAUUGAUACUGCGAGUCUUGAGUAUGGUUGAGGUAGGCGGAAUGUGUUGUGUAGAGGUGAAAUGCAUAGAUAUGACACAGAACGCCAAUUACGAAGGCAGCUUACUAAGCCAUUACUGACGCUGAGGCACGAAAGCGUGGGGAGCGAACAGGAUUAGAUACCCCCGUAGUC